rnacentral:rRNA from 1 species
AACGAACGCUGGCGGCAGGCUUAACACAUGCAAGUCGAGCGCCCCGCAAGGGGAGCGGCAGACGGGUGAGUAACGCGUGGGGAUCUACCUUUUGCUACGGAAUAACUCGCCGAAAGGCGUGCUAAUACCGGAUGAUGUCGUAAGACCAAAGAUUUAUCGCCCAGGGAUGAGCCCGCGUAAGAUUAGGUAGUUGGUGAGGUAAAGGCUCACCAAGCCGACGAUCUUUGGCUGGUCUGAGAGGAUGAUCAGCCACACUGGGACUGAGACACGGCCCAG